UACGUAGGUGGCGAGCGUUGUCCGGAUUUACUGGGCGUAAAGGGAGCGUAGGCGGACUUUUAAGUGAGAUGUGAAAUACCCGGGCUUAACUUGGGUGCUGCAUUUCAAACUGGAAGUCUAGAGUGCAGGAGAGGAGAAUGGAAUUCCUAGUGUAUCGGUGAAAUGCGUAGAGAUUAGGAAGAACACCAGUGGCGAAGGCGAUUCUCUGGACUGUAACUGACGCUGAGGCUCGAAAGCGUGGGGAGCAAACAGGAUUAGAUACCCUGGUA
rnacentral:rRNA from 1 species